GCCCUCUUAGCUCAGUAGGCAGAGCGCAAGACUUUUAAUCUUGUGGUCGUGGGUUCGAGCCCCACAGAGGGUG